UUUUUGAGCUUAAUGACCGACAAAUGCUAAAGAGCAAGGAUUGUGAGUCAGAUCGCAAAUUCGCUAGGCGAGCAAAAGUGAAUUGGGAGCGAAUUGGAACAAAAUGUUCCAGUUUUGUAAGAUACGUAGAUUGUUAGGCGAGCAAGAGACUCAUGUGAAAUUACAAGGAGAUAUGCAAGAGCAACAAUCUACAUAUGAAUCAAAGUGGUUUCCAUGACCUGUUGGAUGAGCUGUCAUUUCUCUUCAUAUCAAAUUCACUAGGCGAAAUUAAUUUGCUAGGCAAGUUUUCACUUAUCAGAAUUCUAUAAGUAAAGGUUGUUAUUUCUUCUUUGGGUCUUCAUCGCAUAUUAAAGAUCUUAGGUCUUUUGUAUUCUUAAAACUCAUCAACACAAGGAGAUCGAG
rnacentral:lncRNA from 1 species